GACGUAGGGCGCGAGCGUUGUCCGGAUUUAUUGGGCGUAAAGAGCUCGUAGGCGGCUCGUUGCGUCGGCUGUGAAAACCCGCAGCUCAACUGUGGGCUUGCAGCUGAUACGGGCGGGCUGGGAUUCGGUAGGGGAGACUGGAAUUCCUGGUGUAGCGGUGAAAUGCGCAGAUAUCAGGAGGAACACCGGUGGCGAAGGCGGUUCUCUGGGCCUUACCUGACGCUGAGGAGCGAAAGCGUGGGGAGCAAACAGG
rnacentral:rRNA from 1 species